rnacentral:rRNA from 1 species
CGGCUAACUCCAUGCCAGCCCCCGCGGUAAUACCGAGGAUCCGAGCGUUAUCCGGAUUUAAUGGGUUUAAAGGGUGCGUAGGCGGGUUGAUAAGUCAGUGGUGAAAGGUUUGCGCUCAACGUAAACAUUGCCAUUGAAACUGGCAGUCUUGAGUACAAAUGAGGUAAGCGGAAUGUGUUGUGUAGCGGUGAAAUGCAUAGAUAUGACACAGAACACCAAUUGCGAAGGCAACUUACUGGGAUGUAACUGACGCUGAAGCACGAAAGCGUGGGGAUCAAACAGGAUUAGAUACCCUGGU